rnacentral:sRNA from 1 species
AAUCAAAUAGCUUUACUCCCUAAAUCAACAAUUUCGGAAAUUCAAUCGUCCAAAGUUUUGUUGGCGAAGAGGUUUGUAAGACAAUUCUCUAAAUUAACGACGAGGAAAGAGUGUCAAAUCCAUGAUGUAAUUGACGUGAACAUGAGACGAUGAUGCUAUGGAACAUUCAAGGAGGUCAUACCGGUGUUGUUUGGUUUACGAAUCUUGGUUAGUCAAAUAUCGUCGUCAAAAUCUGAUUUAACUCCUUGAGAUUAACUCUUACGUUUCCAAAUAUUGUCUAAUGCUCUACAUGAAAAUUUCUUAUGUUUUUUGCUUUUCAACUCUUGAUUCAUAUAUACCUAACUUUACUAUUAGAAUUCCAAAUAGGCUAGAAAUAAACUUCUAACCAAAAUUAAGUAGAUUUUCAUGACACGUUUACGUAUAUAUAUAUAUAUGGUGAUUUCAUUCACAUGCUUUAAGGAAGUGGUGUUGUGAUUCUACAAAGAUCAAAAAGAAAAAAAUCAAAAGAGGGUGCUCCCGUUUAACUUUAGGAUUAAGACCAUUGUAAACUUUGAGAUUCAAAGACAAAGAUGUUUUUCUAUGGAACUACUUUCAUAUAUUUGUUUGUUAAAAAAAAAAGUUUGUUCUCUCUUUCUCAAAUUCCUCUCUAAUUCUAUCACAACUGAAGAUGAAAUCCUCUCAAUUUAUACUUUUCUCAGGAUUCUGGUAUUGUAAAUAGGGGCUUUCAUAAGAAUGGGCACAUUAUGGCCCAAUAACUAGAGAAAGAGAACUUUUAGGAUGGGCUCAUGAAAAUAGGCAUAUAUUAAGCAAGGGAUUUGACCAGUUUGCCUUCGCUUCAGUUCAUGGUUUUGAUAAAUGAUAACGAUACUUCAUCGUCUUCAACAAAUUUCCCUGCAACAAAAAUUUCCCUCACUCAUUUCUCACUGCUGCACUUGCUUCAUGGACGCCAUAUUUGUCAACACCGUCACUUUUAAUUCCAUCAAAACACUAUCUCUUUCAUUUCCAACUCUCACCGCUACCAACACGUCUUCUCCGAUUAACUCGAUCAAUCAAAUUAAACGAUU